UUAUAUAGAGUGUAGUAGCAUGUAAAAUUUUGAUUUUUAAGGUUUGUAUAAU
rnacentral:tRNA from 1 species